AUUGAACGCUGGCGGCAGGCCUAACACAUGCAAGUCGAACGAGUGGCGGACGGGUGAGUAAUGUCUGGGAAACUGCCUGAUGGAGGGGGAUAACUACUGGAAACGGUAGCUAAUACCGCAUACCCUCGGAUGUGCCCCGAUGGGAUUAGCUAGUUGGUGGGGUAACGGCUCACCAAGGCGACGAUCCCUAGCUGGUCUGCGAGGAUGACCAGCCACACUGGAACUGAGCCACGGGCCAGACUCCUGCGGGAGGCAGCAGUGGGGAAUAUUGCACAAGGGGCGCAAGCCUGAUGCAGCCAUGCCGCGUGUAUGAAGAAGGCCGUCGGGUGGUAAAGUACUUUCAGCGGGGAGGCGUUACCCGCAGAAGAAGCACCGGCUAACUCCGUGCCAGCAGCCGCGGUAAUUC
rnacentral:rRNA from 1 species